UACAUGCAAGUCGAGCGAACAGAUAAGGAGCUUGCUCCUUUGACGUUAGCGGCGGACGGGUGAGUAACACGUGGAUAACCUACCUAUAAGACUGGGAUAACUUCGGGAAACCGGAGCUAAUACCGGAUAACAUAUUGAACCGCAUGGUUCAAUAGUGAAAGGCGGCUUUGCUGUCACUUAUAGAUGGAUCCGCGCCGUAUUAGCUAGUUGGUAAGGUAACGGCUUACCAAGGCAACGAUACGUAGCCGACCUGAGAGGGUGAUCGGCCACACUGGAACUGAGACACGGUCCAGACUCCUACGGGAGGCAGCAGUAGGGAAUCUUCCGCAAUGGGCGAAAGCCUGACGGAGCAACGCCGCGUGAGUGAUGAAGGUCUUCGGAUCGUAAAACUCUGUUAUCAGGGAAGAACAAAUGUGUAAGUAACUGUGCACAUCUUGACGGUACCUGAUCAGAAAGCCACGGCUAACUACGUGCCAGCAGCCGCGGUAAUACGUAGGUGGCAAGCGUUAUCCGGAAUUAUUGGGCGUAAAGCGCGCGUAGGCGGUUUUUUAAGUCUGAUGU
rnacentral:rRNA from 1 species